UUUAACUGGAGGAAGGUGGGGAUGACGUCAAGUCAUCAUGGCCCUUACGAGUAGGGCUACACACGUGCUACAAUGGCAGAUACAAAGAGAAGCGACCUCGCGAGAGCAAGCGGAACUCAUAAAGUCUGUCGUAGUCCGGAUUGGAGUCUGCAACUCGACUCCAUGAAGUCGGAAUCGCUAGUAAUCGUAGAUCAGAAUGCUACGGUGAAUACGUUCCCGGGCCUUGUACACACCGCCCGUCACACCAUGGGAGUGGGUUGCAAAAGAAGUAGGUAGCUUAACCUUCGGGAGGGCGCUUACCACUUUGUGAUUCAUGACUGGGGUGAAGUCGAUCAUGU
rnacentral:rRNA from 1 species